GUUCCUUCUCAGGAGGAAGCUGUGCUGAGGAUGAUGAAAGGAACAUGUCUGAACAUGCAGGAUCUUCAGGAGAAUCCAUCUUCAACAUGCAGGAUUCUGAAGACUCUCCACCUUAAAGAUCACCAUAAUUUUAUAUAGUUUCAGAGUUAUCUGCCAAUGAUAGUGUUUCAGUCACAUCAUUUAUGUCACAUAGCCCAGUAUAUUUAUCACCUGUAGCAAAAAGAAAAAAAAAACUCCAUCAUCCAGAAACAA